rnacentral:ncRNA from 3 species
GACCCUGUUGAGCUUGACUC